rnacentral:rRNA from 1 species
UGGGGAAUAUUGCACAAUGGGCGCAAGCCUGAUGCAGCCAUGCCGCGUGUGUGAAGAAGGCCUUCGGGUUGUAAAGCACUUUCAGCGGGGAGGAAGGCGGUGAGGUUAAUAACCUCAUCGAUUGACGUUACCCGCAGAAGAAGCACCGGCUAACUCCGUGCCAGCAGCCGCGGUAAUACGGAGGGUGCAAGCGUUAAUCAGAAUUACUGGGCGUAAAGCGCACGCAGGCGGUCUGUCAAGUCGGAUGUGAAAUCCCCGGGCUCAACCUGGGAACUGCAUUCGAAACUGGCAGGCUAGAGUCUUGUAGAGGGGGGUAGAAUUCCAGGUGUAGCGGUGAAAUGCGUAGAGAUCUGGAGGAAUACCGGUGGCGAAGGCGGCCCCCUGGACAAAGACUGACGCUCAGGUGCGAAAGCGUGGGGAGCAAACAGG